AUUGAACGCUGGCGGCAGGCUUAACACAUGCAAGUCGAACGAUGAAACCUAGCUUGCUAGGUGGAUUAGUGGCGGACGGGUGAGUACAACUUAGGAAUCUACCUUUUAGCGGGGGAUAGCUCGGGGAAACUCGAAUUAAUACCGCAUAAUCCUUACGAGGGAAAGGGGGCACUUGUUGCUCCCACUAAAAGAUGAGCCUAAGCAAGAUUAGCUAGUUGGUGGGGUAAAGGCCUACCAAGGCGACGAUCUUUAGCUGGUCUGAGAGGAUGAUCAGCCACACUGGGACUGAGACACGGCCCAGACUCCUACGGGAGGCAGCAGUGGGGAAUAUUGGACAAUGGGGGCAACCCUGAUCCAGCCAUGCCGCGUGUGUGAAGAAGGCCUUUUGGUUGUAAAGCACUUUAAGCAGUGAGGAAAAGCUAUAUGUUAAUACCAUAUAGCCCUGACGUUAACUGCAGAAUAAGCACCGGCUAACUCUGUGCCAGCAGCCGCGGUAAUACAGAGGGUGCAAGCGUUAAUCGGAAUUACUGGGCGUAAAGAGAACGUAGGUGGUCAAUUAAGUCGGAUGUGAAAUCCCUGAGCUCAACUUAGGAACUGCAUCCGAUACUGGUUGACUAGAGUAGGUGAGAGGAGAGUAGAAUUCCAGGUGUAGCGGUGAAAUGCGUAGAUAUCUGGAGGAAUACCGAUGGCGAAGGCAGCUCUCUGGCAUCAUACUGACACUGAGGUUCGAAAGCGUGGGUAGCAAACGGG
rnacentral:rRNA from 1 species